rnacentral:rRNA from 1 species
ACUCCUACGGGAGGCAGCAGUGGGGAAUAUUGCACAAUGGGCGCAAGCCUGAUGCAGCCAUGCCGCGUGUAUGAAGAAGGCCUUCGGGUUGUAAAGUACUUUCAGCAGUGAGGAAGGUGGGUAUGUUAAUAGCAUAUUCAUUUGACGUUAGCUGCAGAAGAAGCACCGGCUAACUCCGUGCCAGCAGCCGCGGUAAUACGGAGGGUGCGAGCGUUAAUCGGAAUUACUGGGCGUAAAGCGCAUGCAGGUGGUUUGUUAAGUCAGAUGUGAAAGCCCGGGGCUCAACCUCGGAAUUGCAUUUGAAACUGGCAAACUAGAGUACUGUAGAGGGGGGUAGAAUUUCAGGUGUAGCGGUGAAAUGCGUAGAGAUCUGAAGGAAUACCGGUGGCGAAGGCGGCCCCCUGGACAGAUACUGACACUCAGAUGCGAAAGCGUGGGGAGCAAACAGGAUUAUAUACCCUGGUAGGCCUGC